UGAGAAAGCCAAGUACCACUAAGUGACCUCCCCAGGGAAGAGAGUUCACAGCAGAGGCAGCUUGAGACACAGAGGCUUUCUGUGGAGACAGGAAGUUCCCAGAGGAAGUCACAUAUCCUGCUUUCCAACCUGGGAGAUUGGCAGAGUGUCACCUCUCCCUUCUGAGCCUUCAGAAGCCAACAACAGAUUAUAUCAUCUAUUCUCUGAAUUCUUAAAUGGAACAAGGACAGCGCACCUCUCCGGAGGGUGGGACUGAGGAUAUGGCCACCAUUAAGAAAAAGCUGGUGUGUGAGUUCACUGGCAAAUUAUCUCUGCCCCACUUUUAGGAGAUGAGAUGUAUCCAUCAGGGUCCUGACAGUAAAUAGAUGGCACCUCAAAUUGGGUCAUUUGAGGAGCGUUUAAGA